CGCGUAGGCGGCCUGUUAAGUCAGACGUGAAAUCCCUCGGCUCAACCGGGGAACUGCGUCUGAUACUGGCGGGCUUGAAUUCGGGAGAGGGAUGUGGAAUUCCAGGUGUAGCGGUGAAAUGCGUAGAUAUCUGGAGGAACACCGGUGGCGAAGGCGGCAUCCUGGACCGACAUUGACGCUGAGGCGCGAAAGCCAGGGAGCAAACG
rnacentral:rRNA from 1 species